rnacentral:rRNA from 1 species
UACGGGGGGGGGCAAGCGUUGUUCGGAAUUACUGGGCGUAAAGGGCGCGUAGGCGGUUCGCUAAGUUGAAUGUGAAAACUCUGGGCUUAACCCAGAGCCUGCAUUCAAUACUGGCGGGCUAGAGUUCUGGAGGGGAUAGCGGAAUUCCUGGUGUAGCGGUGAAAUGCGUAGAUAUCAGGAGGAACACCGGUGGCGAAGGCGGCUAUCUGGACAGAGUCUGACGCUGAUGCGCGAAAGCUAGGGGAGCAAACAGG